AAAUAUUAGGUGUUAGAACUCUCCCCCCUUAAAAGAAAUUUAGUCCCUCAAAUUUGUCUCUUACUCUUGAGCGAACAGCUGGGGGUACUGAGCUCUAAAGUCUAAUUCUAACUCCCACGUGGACUCCCUUGGUGUGUGGUUCUGCCACAUGACCUUCACAAAGGAUAUCUCCCGGUUGCAGAGUAAUCUGCUCUUUCGAACCGCUAUGCUGACUGGUACUUCCUCAUAGGAUAAAUCCUCCUUGAAUGGAAGAGGUUCGUGGGCCAAGACAUGAGAGGGGUCCGGGUUAUACUUACAUAGCAUGGACACAUAAAAUAGAUUGUGGACCUUAGAAAGUUCUGGAGGCAGUGCUAGUCUAUAGGCAGCGGUACCAAUCUUGUCUAAGACUUCAUAUGGUCCAAUAAAUCGGGGGUUCAAUUUUUUUCUUUUGCCAAACCUACUGAUUCCUUUGAAAUGAGUGACCUUAAGGAAUACCCUGUCGCCUUCC
rnacentral:lncRNA from 1 species